CUACGGGCCGCAGCAGUGAGGAAUUUUGCGCAAUGGGGGAAACCCUGACGCAGCAACGCCGCGUGAGUGAAGAAGGCUUUCGGGUCGUAAAGCUCUGUCAGAUAGGAAAUAAGUUCAUAUGUAAAUAGCUUAUGAAUCUGAUGGUACUAUCAGAGGAAGCACCGGCUAACUCCGUGCCAGCAGCCGCGGUAAUACGGAGGGUGCAAGCGUUGUUCGGAAUUACUGGGCGUAAAGGGCGUGUAGGCGGUAUGGUAAGUCAGAUGUGAAAGCCCUGGGCUUAACUCAGGAAGUGCAUUUGAUACUGCCAUCCUUGAGUAUGGGAGAGGAGAGUAGAAUUCCCAGUGUAGAGGUGAAAUUCGUAGAUAUUGGGAGGAAUACCCGUGGCGAAGGCGACUCUCUGGACCAAUACUGACGCUGAGACGCGAAAGCGUGGGGAGCAAACAGGAUUAGAUACCCCAGUAGUC
rnacentral:rRNA from 1 species